GAAGGUACAGCUCAGUGGUAGAGUGCAUGCCUAGCAUGUAUGAGGUCCUGGGUUCAAACCCCAGUACCUCCA
rnacentral:tRNA from 1 species